UGACCAAAGUGCCCAGUGUCCUCUCCUGGAGGCCAAACCUGCUUUAGCCACAUCCCUUACUUUGCACGGAUAUCAUCUUUAAGUGUUCCCUAACUCAGGUUGUCAAGUCAUUGAUUAGGAAUGCAGACUCAGCAAACCCCAGGUGAUAAAUAGCCUAUGACAUAUUAACUUGCACAGAAAGUCUCUAUUGCUCGGAAAUCUUUUUAGGUUGAUAAAUUGGAGGAUCUACCACAAAAUCCAUAAUAAUGUGUUUUUCUCUGUAGCUCAGUUAGAAAUAAUAAGGUACCAAGUGUUAUCAGAGAUGAAUAAGCUCCAAAGUAUUUGCAGAAGUAUUUUAAUUUAUUAAACCUGCAGAAUAGUUGAAAUAUUCAUAAGAAUGGUUUUGCUGCAAGUUUCUCAGCUUUUUUGUCUCCUGGACUGGAUAAUGCUACAUAAAGACCUGAAGCUAACCAGGCCUUUGAAUUCUCAUCACAGACACAUUUGGCAUACAAAAAGACAAACAAAUCCCCUUUUUGAAGACAGAAGUUCAGCUCCUGUUCUCUUAUUUAGAAGAAAACGUAUUUCCUUUAAAGAUAUUUCAGACCUUUGCAUCUCCUCAUGUAAAUCCUUGUCGGAAAUGUCCCAGGAACAUGCAGCAUCCACUCCAGAUGACAGAAGACCCAGAUGUCUUCACAGACAGGCUGAUGCUGCACACUCCAUCUGAUCCUCUGUGAAAUCUCAGCCUGGAGUUCCACGGGCCCCCUUUCAGCAGCCAGCCUCGACUCUUGCCUUAAGCGCACACAUUCAAUUAUUUAGCAAGGAAAAUGGGCUCCUGUAACUAAUAAAACAUCUGAUUUAGCCCCUUAAUCCCAUUCUAACAUCUUUAAACCAGUGCCAACACAGGUGAGACCUCUGGGAGAGGAAAGCUAAAUAUUGCUCUCUGCCUCGUGGCUUGCUUUCAAACGUACAUUUCAUUCCCCCUCUGUUGCUCAGAAUUAAUGUUGCAAGGAGAGCAGCAGAGAGCUUUUCUAGGAAAGCAUGGCAAAUGCCCAGCUCCAGCAGAACCCUGCCUACCGCUGUGCGGAUCCGCUGUACCACGGGUAAUUCAUCCCGCAUGGCAAAGACCUGCUCUUCUGAAAUGCUCAGCUGUUAGCAAGCUGAGGAAACCGACCCACGGGUCAAAGCUCUCGGAGCAAACCUUCCUGCCUUGUUUGUCAGGUUUUUAAGAGCUAAAACCCAGCAGGUGGGAAGGAAGAGAUUGAAGGGGGCAAUUUUUCAUUCUUCCAUAAGCAAAUUCCUGGCCGCAAUCUCUGCAGCUCCUGGUGGGGUGGCCUAACGGAACUAGACAGCACAGCCCAAAAUCUUGCCUGCUUAAUUGUGUGCUUCACUGGACUGACACCGGGAAUGAAUUUAGCUCACUUGAGGCUCAGCUGGAGAUGGGGUGGCUUUGGAGAAGCUUACGCUUUGUCCCCCUGCAUCACCCCUCCUUGAUUGAGCACCUUCUCUGCAGGCUCUGACAAGAGCAGAUUAUCCCAGCGAAGGCUAAGAGGUCAUGGAAAACAAGGAGCAAGUUCUGUUCAGAGCUUCUGCUUCCCGUUUGCAUCACUGUCAGCGGCAACUGCAGAGCAUUUGUCUGGUCCUCCCUUGGAUUGCAGCGUAUUUCUGUUUUCUUACAGUAUAGACUCAUCCCAGUUUGUUUCUAA